UACGAAGGGGGCUAGCGUUGCUCGGAAUCACUGGGCGUAAAGGGUGCGUAGGCGGGUCUUUAAGUCAGGGGUGAAAUCCUGGAGCUCAACUCCAGAACUGCCUUUGAUACUGAGGAUCUUGAGUUCGGGAGAGAUGAGGUGAACUGCGAGUGUAGAGGUGAGAUUCGUAGAUAUUCGCAAGAACACCAGUGGCGAAGGCGGCUCACUGGCCCGGUACUGACGCUGAGGUGCGAAAGCGUGGGGAGCAAACAGG
rnacentral:rRNA from 1 species